rnacentral:misc_RNA from 1 species
GAUGAAGAACGUAGCGAAAUGCGAUAAGUAAUGUGAAUUGCAGAAUUCAGUGAAUCAUCGAAUCUUUGAACGCAUCUUGCGCUCCUUGGUAUUCUGAGGAGCAUGCCUGUUUGAGUGUCAUUAAAUUCUCAACUACACUGACUUUGAAUUGGUGUGGCUUGGAUUUGGGGGGAAAAUUGUUGUGGGCUUUUUGUGUAGUCUGCUCCCCUGAAAUUGAUUAGCGGUACCUUUGUGGAACUGUCUACAGGUGUGAUAAUUAUCUACAUCUUAGACAUCUGCUGGAAUGCUGCUUUCUAAACCUUACUUGUAUUGACAAUCUUGACCUCAAAUCAGGUAGGACUACCCGCUGAACUUAAGCAUAUCAAUAAGCGGAGGA